rnacentral:rRNA from 1 species
GACGAACGCUGGCGGCGUGCUUAAUACAUGCAAGUCGAACGGAAAGGCCCUGCUCUUGUGGGGCGCUCGAGUGGCGAACGGGUGAGUAAAACGCGAGUAAACCGCCCCUGACAUAGGGAUAAAUUCAGGAAACAGGGGAGAAAAUCGGAGAGAAGCUCUUGAACCAGGGGGGGGGAUGGAAAGAUACGGCGGUGGGGGAUGGACUCGCGGCUUAUCAGCUGGUUGGGGGGGUAGUGGCUUACAAGGGUUUGGACGGGAAGCCGGCCUGAGAGGGUGACCGGCCUCCUUGGGCCUACGGUACGCCCCAGUCUCCUACCUUAGGCAGCAGUCGAGAAUCUUGCACAAUGGGCGCGAGCCUGAUACAGCAACGCCGCGUGCGUGAUGACGGCCUUCGAGUUGUAAACCGCUUUCGCCUUUGACGAAGCGUGAGUGACGGUAAUGGGUAAAGAAGCACCGGCUAACUACGUG